rnacentral:tRNA from 3 species
GCCGUGGUGGCGCAAUCUGGUACCGCGCAGGUCUUGAAAACCUGUUUCCUUCGGGAUAUCUCGGUUCAAAUCCGAGCCACGGCG